GACGAACGCUGGCGGUGUGCUUAACACAUGCAAGUCGAACGGUAAGGCCCUUUCGGGGGUACACGAGUGGCGAACGGGUGAGUAACACGUGAGUAACCUGCCCUCAUCUCUGGGAUAACAGUCGGAAACGGUUGCUAAUACUGGAUAUGAGCUUGCAAGGCAUCUUGUGGGUUGGAAAGAUUUUUUUGGUUGGGGAUGGACUCGCGGCCUAUCAGCUUGUUGGUGAGGUAGUGGCUCACCAAGGCUUCGACGGGUAGCCGGCCUGAGAGGGCGACCGGCCACAUUGGGACUGAGAGACGGCCCAAACGCCUACGGGAGGCAGCAGUGGGGAAUAUUGCACAAGGGACGAAGUCUGAUGCAGCAACGCCGCGUGCGGGAUGACGGCCUUCGGGUUGUAAACCGCUUUCAAUUGUGACGAAGCGUUUUUGUGACGGUAGCAGUAGAAGAAGCACCGGCUAACUACGUG
rnacentral:rRNA from 1 species